UACGUAGGGUGCAAGCGUUAAUCGGAUUUACUGGGCGUAAAGGGUGCGUAGGCGGUUGGGUAAGUCUGAUGUGAAAUCCCCGGGCCCAACCCGGGAACGGCAUUAGAAACUGCCCGGCUGGAGGGUUGGAGGGGGGACUGGAAUUCCCGGUGUAGCAGUGAAAUGCGUAGAUAUCGGGAGGAACGCCAGUGGCGAAGGCGAGUCCCUGGACAACACCUGACGCUGAGGCACGAAAGCUAGGGGAGCAAACGGGAUUAGAAA
rnacentral:rRNA from 1 species